rnacentral:rRNA from 1 species
CAGUCGCCACGGGAAUACAGAGGGUGCGAGCGUUGUCCGGAAUUAUUGGGCGUAAAGGGCUCGUAGGCGGUUUGUUGCGUCGGGAGUGAAAACCCAGGGCUUAACUUUGGGCUUGCUUUCGAUACGGGCAGACUUGAGGCAUUGAGGGGAGAACGGAAUUCCUGGUGUAGCGGUGAAAUGCGCAGAUAUCAGGAGGAACACCGGUGGCGAAGGCGGUUCUCUGGCAAUGUUCUGACGCUGAGGAGCGAAAGUGUGGGGAGCGAACAGGAUUAGAUACCCCCGUAGUCCCUGUCUCUUAUAU